rnacentral:rRNA from 1 species
UCGAGCGGAAGGCCCUUCGGGGUACUCGAGCGGCGAACGGGUGAGUAACACGUGAGCAACCUGCCCUAGGCUUUGGGAUAACCCUCGGAAACGGGGGCUAAUACCGGAUAUUACUGCUGGACGCAUGUUUGGUGGUGGAAAGUUUUUCGGCCUGGGAUGGGCUCGCGGCCUAUCAGCUUGUUGGUGGGGUGAUGGCCUACCAAGGCGACGACGGGUAGCCGGCCUGAGAGGGCGACCGGCCACACUGGGACUGAGACACGGCCCAGACUCCUACGGGAGGCAGCAGUGGGGAAUAUUGCACAAUGGGCGGAAGCCUGAUGCAGCGACGCCGCGUGAGGGAUGACGGCCUUCGGGUUGUAAACCUCUUUCAGCAGGGACGAAGCGCAAGUGACGGUACCUGCAGAAGAAGCGCCGGCCAACUACGUGCCAGCAGCCGCGGUAAGACGUAGGGCGCGAGCGUUGUCCGGAUUUAUUGGGCGUAAAGAGCUCGUAGGCGGCUUGUCGCGUCGACUGUGAAAACCCGUGGCUCAACUGCGGGCCUGCAGUCGAUACGGGCAGGCUAGAGUUCGGUAGGGGAGACUGGAAUUCCUGGUGUAGCGGUGAAAUGCGCAGAUAUCAGGAGGAACACCGGUGGCGAAGGCGGGUCUCUGGGCCGAUACUGACGCUGAGG